rnacentral:rRNA from 1 species
AGUGAACGCUGGCGGUAGGCCUAACACAUGCAAGUCGAACGGCAGCACAGUAAGAGCUUGCUCUUACGGGUGGCGAGUGGCGGACGGGUGAGGAAUACAUCGGAAUCUACUUUUUCGUGGGGGAUAACGUAGGGAAACUUACGCUAAUACCGCAUACGACCUACGGGUGAAAGCAGGGGAUCUUCGGACCUUGCGCGAUUGAAUGAGCCGAUGUCGGAUUAGCUAGUUGGCGGGGUAAAGGCCCACCAAGGCGACGAUCCGUAGCUGGUCUGAGAGGAUGAUCAGCCACACUGGAACUGAGACACGGUCCAGACUCCUACGGGAGGCAGCAGUGGGGAAUAUUGGACAAUGGGCGCAAGCCUGACGCAGCCAUACCGCGUGGGUGAAGAAGGCCUUCGGGUUGUAAAGCCCUUUUGUUGGGAAAGAAAAGCAGCAGGUUAAUACCCCGCUGUUCUGACGGUACCCAAAGAAUAAGCACCGGCUAACUUCGUG